GGUUCGAUUCUGGCUCAGAUUGAACGCUGGCGGGAUGCUUUACCACAUGCAAGUCGAACGGUAGCACGGACUUAUCUGGUGGCGAGUGGCGAACGGGUGAGUAAUGUAUCGGAACGUGCCUAGUAGCGGGGAUAACUACGAAAAGGUAGCUAACACGCAUAUUACCUUUCGGGAAAGCGGGGACCUUCGGGCCUCGCACUAUUAGAGCGGCCGAUAUCGGAUUAGCUAGUUGCGGGUAACGGCUCACCAAGGCGACGAUCCGUAGCUGGUUUGAGAGGACGACCAGCCACCGGGACUGGAGACACGCCCAGACUCCUACGGGAGGCAGCAGUGGGGAAUUUUGGACAAUGGGGGAAACCCUGAUCCAGCCAUCCCGCGUGUGGGCGAUGAAGGCUCUCGGGUUGUAAAGCACUUUUUGGCAGGAAGAAACGGCACGGAAGCACAUACUCCGCAACUGACGGUACCCGCAGAAUAAGCACCGCCAACUACGCGCCAGCAGCCGCGGUAAUACGUAGGGUAAGCGUUAAUCGGAAUUACUGGCGGAAGCGUGCGCAGGCGGUUCGGAAAGAAAGAUGAAAUCCCAGAGCUUAACCUCUUGAACUGUAUUUAACUACCGAGCUAGAGGUCAGGGAGGGAGGUGGAAUUCCGCGUGUAGCAGUGAAAUGCGUAGAUAUGCGGAGGAACACCGGAUGGCGAAGGGUGCAGCCUCCUGGGAUAACACUGACGUUUGUACGAAAGCGUGGGGAGCAACAGGAUUAGAUACCCUGGUAGUCCACGCCCUAAACGAUGUCAACUAGCUUUCGUUGGGGCCUUCGGGCCUUGGUAGCAGCUAACGCGUGAAGUUGACUGCCCGGGGAGUACACGCAAGAUUAAAACCAAAGGAAUUGACGGGGACUGCAGCGCGGUGGAUGAUGUGAUUAAUCUGAUGCAACGCGAAAACCUUACCUACCCUUGACAUGUCUGGAAUCCCCGGAAGAGAUUUGGGGAGUGCUGCAAGGAGAACCGGAACACAGGUGCUGCAUGAUGUCGUCAGCUCGUGUCGAGAUGUUAAGUCCCGCAACGAGCGCGCAACCCCUUGUCAUUAGUUGCUACUGAAAGGCACUCUAAUGACUGCCGGUGACAAACCGGUGUAGCGUGGGGAUGACGUCAAGUCCUCAUGGCUCCUUGCGGUAGGGUCAUGACAAUAUACAAUGGUCGGGACAGAGGGUCGCCAACCCGCGAGGGGAGCCAAUCCCAGAAACCCGAUCGUAGUCCGGAUCGCAGUCUGCAAAUCCCGACUGCGUGAAGUCGGAAUCGCUAGCAUCAUGAUCAGCAUGUCGCGGCAAUACGUUCCCGGGUCUUGUACACACCGCUCCGCUGUCACACCAUGGGGAGUGGGUUUUAACAGGAAGAAGUUAGCCUAACUCGUAAGGAGGGCGAUUACCACGGUAGGAUUCAUGACUGGGGGUGAAGUCGUAACAUGGUAA
rnacentral:rRNA from 1 species